rnacentral:rRNA from 1 species
GACGAACGCUGGCGGCGUGCUUAACACAUGCAAGUCGAACGGAAAGGCCCUGCUUUUGUGGGGUGCUCGAGUGGCGAACGGGUGAGUAACACGUGAGUAACCUGCCCUUGACUUUGGGAUAACUUCAGGAAACUGGGGCUAAUACCGGAUAGGAGCUCCUGCUGCAUGGUGGGGGUUGGAAAGUUUCGGCGGUUGGGGAUGGACUCGCGGCUUAUCAGCUUGUUGGUGGGGUAGUGGCUUACCAAGGCUUUGACGGGUAGCCGGCCUGAGAGGGUGACCGGCGACAUUGGGACUGAGAUACGGCCCAGACUCCUACGGGAGGCAGCAGUGGGGAAUAUUGCACAAUGGGCGGAAGCCUGAUGCAGCAACGCCGCGUGCGGGAUGACGGCCUUCGGGUUGUAAACUGCUUUCGCCUGUGACGAAGCGUGAGUGACGGUAAUGGGUAAAGAAGCACCGGCUAACUACGUG